rnacentral:lncRNA from 1 species
UUAUUCAACUUCUUUGAAACUUUUAUUUACCACUAAAUACUUCACUUUUCUAGCAAUCUUCUUUAGAAUCCCAUUAAAUAAAUAAAUAAAUAAAUAAAAUCUUUAGCUAAACUCCACUAUUACCUUGAAAGUUAUCAAAAUAUGUGACAAUUGAUUCUACCUUCAAAGAUUAUAUAUAGGCAAACUUAGUCCCAUACUGUCACUAUUGUUACUAUUAUAACUAGCAUUAUUAUUACUGUUAUUGUUGUUCUUAAUUUCACUCGUUGCCGACAGCUACACUUAGGGGCUGUUUGGGUACCUGAAAAUCUAUUACAUGACAAUAUAUUACAAAGAAAUAUGUCAUUUUC